UUAUUCGGAUUCGCCAUCAUACGUCCAACCGUGCAUUUGAUAUGCAUAUAUAUGCAUCACGAGCCACGGUUGGGCUGUAUGAUGGCGAUACCGAUUGG
rfam:Triticum aestivum genome assembly, contig: Triticum_aestivum_CS42_TGACv1_scaffold_001214_1AL